CGCUCAUUCGUUCGUUUGUCGCAUUCCCUUUUCGGCGAGCGUACGUACGCGCUUGCUCGUAUGUGCAUUCGCUCUCGCGUGCACUCGCGUGCAUCGGAGUCGCCUAGUGUACUGGAUGGAUUGCCGGCGAGCGUUGUUAAGUUAGCCAUUUGUUUUACCCGAAUUAUUAUCUAGACGACAACCACAAUUCAAUUAAAAGGAAAGGGAACAAAGAAGAAAGUGAGAUAUCGACCAACGUAUCAUAUAUGAUGCUUAUUGCGAUAAUUGCCGUUCUCAUUAACGAGCUACAUUCGUAUAGAAUUGUGAAACCGAAGUGCGCGUUGCAGUCAAUCGAUGACGUCAUUGGUUCCCGAGGUUUCGGUCAAUCAACCAGUUGAACGUUACGUCAGAAUCGUAACAAUCUGACUGGAGAUAAUCAGAUUACCUUACCGAUUCUGAUUA